rnacentral:antisense_RNA from 1 species
CCCCUGGUGCCCGGGUCCUCGUCGGUCAGCGCCCCCGCGCCGUAGAAGUCCCCGUCGGCGAGCACCCCCAGCUGGGUCUCCGUGUCGUAGGCGCCGGCGCCGCGCCUGGCGAGCUUGCCGUGCGCGAUCAGCACCACCGCGUCCGCGGCGGCACCGGGCUCGACGACGACCUCGCCGGGCGCGAAGUCCCGCUGGACACAGGCCGCUGCCAGCUCCCGGAGGGCGCCGUCGUCCUCGAAGCCGGCCAGCGCGGGCAGUUCGCCCAGCUCGGCGGGGAUCACCCGUACCUCGGCGCCGGUCGACUCGAAUUCCACCCGCCCGUUCCCAACGGUGUGGGUCAGCCUGCGGUUCACCCGGAACGUACCGCCGGAGACCUGCACCCAGGGCAGCACCUUGAGCAGCCAGCGGGAGGUGAUCCCCUGCAUCUGCGGCGGCGUCUUGGUGGUGGUCGCCAGGUUGCGUGCGGCGGCGGUGUCCAGGCUGAGCCUGGGAUGGGCCG